rnacentral:rRNA from 1 species
AGUUCGAUUCUGGCUCAGAUUGAACGCUGGCGGGAUGCUUUACAUGCAAGUCGAACGGCAGCACGAGACUUCGGUCUGGUGGCGAGUGGCGAACGGGUGAGUAAUGUAUCGGAACGUGCCUAGUAGCGGGGGAUAACUACGCGAAAGCGUAGCUAAUACCACGCCACGCCCUUCGAGGAGAAAGCGGGGGACCUUCGGGCCUCGCACUGUGAAACGGCCGAUAUCGGAUUAGCUAGUUGGUGGGGUAACGGCUCACCAAGGCGACGAUCCGUAGCUGGUUUGAGAGGACGACCAGCCACACUGGGACUGAGACACGGCCCAGACUCCUACAGGGAGGCAGCAGUGAAUUUUGGACAAUGGGGAUGCUAGUCCAACCAUCCCGCGUGUGCGAUGAAGGCCUUCGGGUUGUAAAGCACUUUAGCAGGAAAGAAACGGCACGGGAUAAUACCCCGUACAUGACGUACCUGCAGAAUAAGCACCGGCUAACUACGUACCAGCAGCUACAGCGAUAAUACGUAGGUGCAAGCGUUAAUCGGAAUUACUGGGCGUAAAGCGUGCGCAGGCGGUUCGGAAGAAGAUGUGAAAUCCCAGAGCUUAACUUUGGAACUGCAUUUUUAACUACUGAGCUAGAGUGUGUCAGGGAGUGCAAUUACCUGUAGCAGUGAAGUAGUAGAUAUGCGGAGGAACACCGAUGGCGAAGGCAGCCUCCUGGGAUAACACUGACGCUCAUGCACGAAAGCGUGGGAGCAAGCAAGUUAGAUACCCUGGUGAGAGUCCACGCCUAAACGAUGUCAACUAGCUGUUGGGGCCUUCGGGCCUUGGUAGCGCAGCUAACGCGUAGUUGACCGCACCAAGAAUACGGUCGCAAGAUUAAAACUCAAAGGAAUUGACGGGAUACUAGGCGGCGGUGGAUGAUGUGGAUUAAUUCGAUGCAACGCGAAAACCUUACCUACCCUUGACAUGUCUGGAAUCCCGAAAGAGAUUUGGGAGUGCUCGCAAGAGAACGGAACACAGGUGCUGCAUGGCUGUGUCAGCUCGUGUCGUGAGAUGUUGGGUUAAGUCCGCAACGAGCGCAGCGCGGUAUUGAUUUGCUACGAAAGGGCACUCUAUUGAGACUGCCGGUGACAAACCGGAGGGAAGGUGGGGAUGACGUCAAGUCCUCAUGGCCCUUAUGGGUAGGGCUACGUCAUACAAUGGUCGGGACAGAGGGUCGCCAACCCCGCAGAGAGGCCAAUCCCAGAAACCCGAUCGUAGUCGGAUCGCAGUCUGCAACUCGAGCUGCGUGAAGUCGGAAUCGCUAGUAAUCGCGGAUCAGCAUGUCGCGGUGAAUACGUUCCCAGGUCUUGUACACACCGCCCGUCGCACCAUGGGAGUGGGUUUUACCAGAAAUAGUUAGCCUAACCGUAAGAGGGCGAUUACCACGGUAAGUUCAUGACUGGGGUGAAGUCGUAACAAAGUA